UCCGUGAGGACGAAUCUGAAGGAAGUUCGUGGGCAAAUCUCUGGUCCGAUGAAUAGAAAUCACAUAUAAGGCAUGGAGUGAGGAUAAGACUGCCGAACAAGUUAAAGUCCAAUAACUACUCGAAAUCAUUCCAUGUAAAUGUGGCGGAUAGAUGGAAAGGAAGAUU
rnacentral:ncRNA from 1 species